rnacentral:rRNA from 1 species
AGAAUUCGGCUUUGGCUCAGAACGAACGCUGGCGGCAGGCUUAACACAUGCAAGUCGAGCGCGUAGCAAUACGAGCGGCAGACGGGUGAGUAACGCGUGGGAACGUACCCUUUACUACGGAAUAACGCAGGGAAACUUGUGCUAAUACCGUAUGUGCCCUUUUGGGGAAAGAUUUAUCGGUAAGGGAUCGGCCCGCGUUGGAUUAGCUAGUUGGUGGGGUAAAGGCCUACCAAGGCGACGAUCCAUAGCUGGUCUGAGAGGAUGAUCAGCCACAUUGGGACUGAGACACGGCCCAAACUCCUACGGGAGGCAGCAGUGGG